GGGGGAGAAUGGGCAUCCCACCCCAGCACUUUCUAGGAAGAAGGGCAACAUUUUGAAGGGCUGGAAGUAGAGAAAGAAGGUUGCGGGUAGAAGACUCCAUACUUUCUGUGACGCCUAUUCCUUAGCUUGUGAUGAAUGUUUUCUCAGUAUCCUAUGCUGAAAACAGAACAACAGAAGUUUCAACAUUCUGCCAACACAGUAACUCCUGGGAGAUUGGCACAGAAGAAGGCACAAGGAGAGCUUUUAUAUAACCAAAGAUAUUUUUGGACCAUGAAUUCGGAAAUUCUCGGAGCCACCCAUCAAUGCCUGAGCUUCAGUGAGUCCAUAUCCCAUGUCACCUACGGCAAAGGAGAAUCUGAGACUUCUGAAGAGUUUCUUGCUUCUUUCCUGUGGGGCAGUGACUCCACUUCCCAGCAGUAAUGGAAUAUCCUGAAUUAGCUACAUUAAUGUUAGAACCAUUUGGACCUCACCCAGGACUUCAACUACAUUGUGCUAAAGUUACAGAAUCCAAAUUUGGCAACUGCCUGCAUCUGAACAACAGAAGUUUCAACAUUCUGCCAACAGAGUAACUCCUGGACGACUGGCACAGAAGAAGGCACAAGGCAAAUACCCAUCUCUGUACACCCUGUGCUACUGUGUCAUGUGCUGCUCCAGGCAACUCCAAUGGAUUGGCCACCCUGGCCAAUGUGUUCUAGUAUGUUAGGUUUAUGUUCCCCUGCUUUCUACAAUCCUGUUCAAAGAGUUGCUGACUUAACCACAGAGAGAAUUCCAGAA
rnacentral:antisense_RNA from 1 species